rnacentral:rRNA from 1 species
UACGAAGGGGGCUAGCGUUGCUCGGAAUCACUGGGCGUAAAGCGCACGUAGGCGGAUUGUUAAGUCAGGGGUGAAAUCCUGGAGCUCAACUCCAGAACUGCCUUUGAUACUGGCGAUCUUGAGUCCGGGAGAGGUGAGUGGAACUGCGAGUGUAGAGGUGAAAUUCGUAGAUAUUCGCAAGAACACCAGUGGCGAAGGCGGCUCACUGGCCCGGUACUGACGCUGAGGUGCGAAAGCGGUGGGGAGCAAACAGGGAU